GAUGAACGCUGGCGGCGUGCCUAACACAUGCAAGUCGAACGGAAAGGCCCUGCGUUUGUGGGGUGCUCGAGUGGCGAACGGGGGAGUAAAACGUGAGUAAACCCCCCCUGUCUUUGGGAUAACACCAGGAAACAGGGGAUAAUACCGGAUAGGAGCUUCUGAUGCACGGUGGGGGUUGGAAAGUUUCGGCGGUUCGGGAUGGUAUCGCGGCUUAUCAGCUUGUUUGUGGGGUAGUGGCGUACCAAGGCUUUGACGGAUAGCCGGCCUGGGAGCGUGACCGGCGACAUUAGUACUGAGGGACGGAGCAGACUGCAACGGGAGGCAGCGGUGGAAAGUAUGACGCAGUGGGGGGGAGCCUGUUACGGCGGCGCCGCGUUCGUAAUGACGGGCUACGGGUUAUGAACCGAUUUCGCCUGUGACGUGGCCUGAGUGACGGUAAUGGAUAAAGAAGCACCGGCUAACUACGUG
rnacentral:rRNA from 1 species